rnacentral:rRNA from 1 species
GACGAACGCUGGCGGCGUGCUUAACACAUGCAAGUCGAACGGAAAGGCCCUGCUUUUGUGGGGUGCUCGAGUGGCGAACGGGUGAGUAACACGUGAGUAACCUGCCCUUGACUUUGGGAUAACUUCAGGAAACUGGGGCUAAUACCGGAUAGGAGCUCCUGCUGCAUGGUGGGGGUUGGAAAGUUUCGGCGGUUGGGGAUGGACUCGCGGCUUAUCAGCUUGUUGGUGGGGUAGUGGCUUACCAAGGCUUUGACGGGUAGCCGGCCUGAGAGGGUGACCGGCCACAUUGGGACUGAGAUACGGCCCAGACUGCUACGGGAGGCAGCAGUGGGGAGUAUUGCACAAUGGGCGGAAGCCUGAUGCAGCAGCGCCGCGUGCGGGAUGACGGCCUUCGGGUUGUAAACCGCUUUCGCCUGUGACGAAGCGUGAGUGACGGUAAUGGGUAAAGAAGCACCGGCUAACUACGUG